CUGGUUCAGCCUUGGUGGGGUUGCUGAAAACAAAAAAAUAUUUCUGGAGUGGAAAGAUCUUCAGAAAUGUUCUUGCCAAAAAAUGUUUUAUUUAGUUCUUUAUCUCAGGUCAUAUUUCUGCAGGGAGGAUUUUCCUAACACCUUCAGAGCUCAGAGCAGUGCCAUAUGCAUGAGGUAUCUGUGUGUCAAGGAGAUGGGAGGAGCACAGUAGGGGCGUGAGAAGGUUGGCUUUAGCUUUAAAAUUUUGAAACUUAUGGAGGUUUCCGGAAUCACCAAGCCAAUAGCACUGAUGACCCAAGCCCCAAAAGUGCUGAGGUCCUGUAGGGAUCCUCAGCCACACUCAUUGUUUCCAUGGAAACAAUAGAACUUUCUGAUAUAAAAUAGAAGGCAACCUAUAGACAUCACACUUACAAAAAUAGAGAUCUGGUUUUCAUCUCUGCUUCUUGGACUGGGGCCAGCUUUUCCUGUUGUCUCUUUUAUGGAAUUUGAAAUAAGGAGCCGAAGAAAAACUCCUAAGUGGGAGAAAAAGACUUCAUUCCCUGAGUCCGAAGAAGGAGUCAGUGAACGGGUUUCAAAUCGUGUCGGGACUUCUAAAUUACAGGGGCAACAGCCCAGGAACGGAAAAACUGCUCUCAUCUGCUUUCUGGCCUGUCUCCAGACUAAAGCAGCUGUGAAUAUCUUGAGGUUUCCAGUGUGGCCUGUCAGAGACUGCUGGUUUGAAUAAUCCUGAUGAGAUCUGGAGAAAGAGCACGGGCACAUGAACAUUUAUAAGCAGGGUAGAAUCUUUAUCCCUUUCAGGUUCAUUGGAAUGUCACUGUCACUACUGAUAAAUCAACAGUGUCAUCUUUUCCAUUACCUCAGUACCUCACAUAGAGAGCAUGAUGUAAUGGAAGGAUCCUUACCGCACGGGUCAGAGUCCCAGGUUCUGGUCCUGAUUCUGCCUCUGUGAACUGUGUGACCUUGGCUAAGGCGCUUACGCUCUCUGGGCUUUACUUCAGUCACCUGUAAAGGGGAAGAGGGGAGACACUAGAUGAUCUUUUUGUUUUCAUUUUUCUUUAUUAUAAAAACACAUAAAAUUGACCAUCUUAACCAUUUUUAAGUGUACGUUUCAGUAGUACUAAGUAUAUUCACAUCAUCAUGAAACAGAUUUCCAGAACGUUUUCAUUUUGCAAAUCUGAAACUAUAUAGCUAUGAAACAACUCGCCUUCUUCUCUUUCUGGAAACCUCUGGUAACCACCAUUAUACUUCCUGUUUCUAUGCCCCUCCUAUGACCUCACAUAAGGGACACCAUACAGUAUCUUUCUGCUUGCAACUGACUUAUUUCACUUCGCAUAAAAUCCUCAAUGUUUAUUCAUAUUGUAUCAAGUGUCAGGAUCUCCUUCCUUUUUAAGGCUGAAUGAUAUUCCAUUGUACGGAUAUACCACAUUUUGUUGAUCCAUUCAUCCACUGAUGGACAUUUGGGUUUUGGCUAUUGUGAGUAGUGCUAUUACCAUGAGUAUUCAAAUAUAUGCUCAAGACCCUGCUCUCGAUUCUUUUGCGUAUAUACCCGGAAGUGGGAUUGCUGGAUCACAUUUUUGAGGAACUGCCAUACUGUUUUCACAGUUGCUGUACCACUUUACCUUCCCGCUAAGAGCAAACAACGGUUACAAUUUCUCCACGUUCUUACCAACAGUUGUUAUUUUCUGCUUUUUUUGAUAGUAGCCAUCCUAAUGGCCAUGAGGUGAUAUAUCCUUGUGGUUUUGAUUUGAUUUCCAUUUAUCUGAUGAUAUUGACUAUUCAUCUUUAACAUUUAUAGUUCUAGAUUCUUUCUGUCUUCAACCAACUUUUUAAGCACUUUUUUCUUUCUUUAUAGGAACAGAUAAUAGUUAAUUACCAAGAAAUUGAAUCUAUCAAUGACUCUGAUAGGGUUUGUUUUUUGAGUUUUUUUUUUUUUUUUUUUCGUGCUGGGCUUUUGCUGUGUUAAGUGGUGGGAAAUGAGAAUGUGUUCUUCAGGACUUGAUAUAAUUGAAUGUCUGUCACUUGAAGGAAAGUGUGGUGUGGAAUCUUUUUCCUUCCAAAACUAAUGCUUCUUCACAACUAACUAUGUGUUGAUCAUUUUUCUAAGUGCAUUACAUAUAUUAACAUAUUUAAUCUUCACAGCGACAACAAUCUUAUGAAGUCUUAGUAUUAUCCUUAUUUCACAAUGAUGAAACAGCACAGAGAGGGCAAGUAACUUGCCUGAGGUCACACAGCUAGUCAGCUAAGGCCAGAGGUCUCUCUGCCUCCUGUCUCUCUCAAUCUCAGCCAUUGCCUUGGAUAAAAACCUCUUUAAUCUUUAUCCUAUUACACAGGGAUGCUUUUUGCCUCCCCACCUCCUCCUUUCCUUCCACAUCAUUCAACUGUGCCCUCUGGAACUCUAUUCAUAGAUCUUUAACAUUUCUCCUAAAUGUUUCCUGUCUUCUGCUAUCAGCUAAACCUUAGUUUCCCUAAGGUUCCUGCUUCCCUUUUAUCCUUUUCAAGUGGCGAGGGCUCAUACUCACCUGCCCUCUGCCUCUCUGGGCUGGGAGUUAGGAACUAAUAUCUCUCUUGCUCUCCAAAGCUAUUGCCAGGUCACUAUUCCUUCUCUCUUAUGUAAAAUUUCUAUUGGCUUUGUGGUUCACACUUUGUCCUAUGUCAUCCCUAUCAUGUGUCAAUCUGCCCCUCAGUCUCCAACAUUCACAUGAGAUUUGGGGCUGGGCAUCGUGCCUCAUGUCUGUAAUCCCAGCACUUUGAGAGGCCGAGGUGGGUGGAUCACUGGAGGUUAGGAGUUUGAGACCAGCCUGGCCAACAUGAUGAAACCCAGUCUCUACUGAAAAUACAAAAAUUAGCCGGGCGUGCUGGUGUGCACCUGUAGUCCCAGCUACUCGGGAGGCUGAGGUAUGAGAAUCUCUUGGACCUGGGAGGCAGAGGUUGCAGUGAGCCGAGAUCUCACCAUUGCAUUCCAGCCUGGACGACAAGAGUGAAAUUCUGUCUCAGAAAAAAAAAAAAAAAAAGAUUUUGACAGCAGGCCUUUUCUCUCCCCCAUGUUCUGCCAGCUGCCAGCUGGGUAACUCCAGUGUCCAGGAAGGCAGUCCUCCUGACGCACUAACUCUCCCGAUCUUUAGUUUCGGCCUCAAUGUUUUCAUGUAGCCUGUACUUUGCCAUGCAGGAUUUUAAUAGCCCUACCUUGCUGCGUCAUCACUCAGGAUUCCCUCAUCCCCAAAUCUCAAACUCCUAUGUCCUCCCGGCUCACUCAUUCCCUUACCCCCACUACCCCAUCAGUUAGCUCAUGAAGGUGUCCAGAUCCUAGACUCUUCCUUAUCCACACGGUCUACAUUCCCUCCUGGCUUAUCCCCCAUCCUCAUGGUCAUCCGAAC
rnacentral:lncRNA from 1 species